AAUAUAUACGAUGAAAAGCAGGAGGUCUUCCAGAGGGAAGCAGAGGGAUUUGAGAAGCUAGCACGGGCUAGAGGGGAAGGCUCUUCUUCAAGUUCAGCAAACGUGCAAUCCGAUUACUCCAUGGCCAGUGACUUCAAUCUUAAUGAAAUACAAGCAACAGAUUAUACUUCGAACAAUAUGAGGUCAUGAAAGAAGUUACAUGUUAAAUAAUGGUCCUUUAAAGGCAACAUUAAACUUAUACUAUUUGUGUUUUUGAUGCUUAGGAGCAACAACAAGAUAGUGUGCAUAAGGAAGGUGGGCAUGAAAGAGGUACUUUAGUCGUUGGAUAGAGAAUUUACUAAAUCAACAAUGAAUGGAGAACCUUGAUUGUCCGGGAAAUUAGCUCUCAGUUGUAUGAUUUGAGCUAGAAGUCGGGCAAAUGCUACAUUUCGAGUAGGUAAAAGACUCGCAUGUGACCACCUUGAGGAUACGUCAAUUAAGACCAAGAAUUAACGGAAUGGACCACACGGAGGGUGAAUAGGCCCACAAAUAUCCCCUUGGAUUAUUUCUAAAAAUGAUGGGGUUUCAUGUAUCAAUUUAGUUUGUGAGGGCCAAGUAAUAAAUU